rnacentral:rRNA from 1 species
GCUAGUAAUCGCAGAUCAGCAUGCUGCGGUGAAUACGUUCCCGGGUCUUGUACACACCGCCCGUCACACCAUGGGAGCCGGGAAUACCCGAAGCCUGUGAGCUAACGUUAAGAGGCAGCAGUCGAAGGUAGAAUCAAUGAUUGGGUGAAGUCGUAACAAGGUACC